UACGUAGGUGGCAAGCGUUGUCCGGAAUUAUUGGGCGUAAAGCGCGCGCAGGCGGUCCUUUAAGUCUGAUGUGAAAGCCCACGGCUCAACCGUGGAGGGUCAUUGGAAACUGGGGGACUUGAGUGCAGAAGAGGAAAGUGGAAUUCCACGUGUAGCGGUGAAAUGCGUAGAGAUGUGGAGGAACACCAGCGGCGAAGGCGACUUUCUGGUCUGUAACUGACGCUGAGGCGCGAAAGCGUGGGGAGCAAACAGG
rnacentral:rRNA from 1 species